ACACAGAGGGAUAUUUGUCAUUGCAGUGAUAAAACUGUGAGCAGCUUGGAGUUCAGUCAUGCCAGGGAGAGAAUAUGAUACUUUACACGAACACGUCAAGGUUUGGCAGCAAAAAGAAAACCAGGUGAGGAUAAUAUUCCCAGCCUCAAGAGAUCAUAUUCUUUGGAAAAAUGAUAGGAGAAAAAAACAUCAGGGCUAUUAUCUUCUGUACUUAGAGGAAGACUGACGGAGAAAAUAUCUCCCCGAUCUGCCUGACAGCUGACUGUAUUGCAGGACAAAUUUUCUGUUGGGAAGGAAGUGACCUGUCUUACCCUGUACUGCAAGAUUACAAGAGUCAAAACAGCAAGACUGAAUGGACAGAGAUGGGAUCAGGGCGUCAGAAGCCUCAGUCAUGUGAAACUAACCAAGCAGUGGUGUCUUGAAAAGAAAUAUGUAGUGUCUGUAGCUCUUCAGGAAAUCUCAGCAUGGAUAUCCUGUUUUCUCAACCUGUAAUAAUGAACUGCUCUACCUCCUUUUCACUAUGCACAGGAUAUACAUGACUCCACCAUCUCUGUGUAUUUUGGGUUUUGCUCACUUAUUUUUAAAGUAGAAUAUACACAGUCUCUAAAAAGCAUGAGUCAGUGUCCUCUAUUAAUGUGCUCUUUUACCCUUUCUAAACUGGCAGUUUAUGACAACAGAACCACUUUUUCACUGUAGGAGAGUUAAACCUAUUUUGAAAAUUAUAAUAAGUCUUAGCAGACUUAUUCUGCAGCAAAUGUCCCUUUUCAUGUAAUUCUAGUAAUUGAUUUGGCAGACUUUGAAAGAAUAAAAUACAUGUUAAAUUAUUGUCUUAGAGACUACAACAUUUAACUUGAAAGUCAUAUGACAAUUGUCAGGGACUAUGUUUGUAGGCACAGUGAAGGAAGAAUUCCUUUAGGAAAAAUUGAGAUUUUAAUUAUUGACUUCUAGGAAGACAUGAUUAACAAGGGCUUCUCAUCCUCAGUUAUCAAAUCCCAAGUGUCUGCUCCUGUAUCUGCUGUUUCUUAAGUCAAAUCCCCAAACUUCCUUCCAGUUCUCAGCAUAGCCUCAUUAAAUCAACUGUACUUAAACCUUCAGUAGAUUAGAACUUGUUAGGAGAAUGUAGAUGUAACACUUGAUUACCUUUCUAAAGCUGAUGACAAGAAUUGAUUUUUAGAGAUUUGUCACCCCUGGCAUAGCCAACAAUCCACCUCCUCCCUAUCCCCAACUUUCUCAUGCAUGAGGAAUUAACCCAUGCAUUUAGCAGACUUCCAGUAAAUAACCUAUUCUGCUCAUAGGCAAUUGUUGAAGUUUUGCCUCAGAAUAUGAAUGUUCCUAAAAUUCUGCAAUCUACUGAUACCAUAUGUCUUGUAUUAUCUUUAGAAAAGUAUCACCACCAAGAAAAGAGGUUGUACACCAUCACAGCAGGAGGCUUUGUGCUAUGUAAUUAGACCUAAGACAAGACCUAAAUUUUAUUGAGGCCAAGGACAGCUACACCACUGCUGUUUGCACUGGAAUAUUAAUAGACAAAAGACCUAAGUAUACUGUUGAAAAACUGGUUAUAAUGGACUUGAUUUAUUUUGUUAAGUAUGCAUACGUUUUCUGCGAUGCAAAGCACACUAAUUCAUCAAGAAAAAUAAGCAAA
rnacentral:lncRNA from 1 species